UACAGAGGGUGCAAGCGUUGUUCGGAAUUACUGGGCGUAAAGGGCUCGUAGGUGGCCAACUAAGUCAGACGUGAAAUCCCCAGGCUUAACCUGGGAACUGCGUCUGAUACUGGAUGGCUUGAAUUCGGGAGAGGGAUGCAGAAUUCCAGGUGUAGCGGUGAAAUGCGUAGAUAUCUGGAGGAAUACCGGUGGCGAAGGCGGCAUCCUGGACCGAGAUUGACACUGAGGAGCGAAAGCUAGGGGAGCAAACGGG
rnacentral:rRNA from 1 species